UACGGAGGGGGCGAGCGUUGUCCGAAGUUACUGGGCGUAAAGAGCGCGUAGGCGGGAUAGCAAGUCUGCUGUGAAAGCCCGGAGCUUAACUCCGGAGGGUCGGUGGAUACUGCCAGUCUUGAAGAUGCUAGGGGGAGAUGGAAUUACCGGUGUAGCGGUGAAAUGCGUAGAGAUCGGUAGGAACACCAGUGGCGAAGGCGGUCUCCUGGGGCAUUCUUGACGCUGAGGCGCGAAAGCUGGGGGAGCGAACGGG
rnacentral:rRNA from 1 species